UACUUCACUGACGCAGAACUGAAAGGUAUUACAUGUGCAUUCAUAUUGCACAUACUCGUAAUGCCAUAGAGUUGAAGAUUAAAAGUAUGUUUAAUAUUAUUAAAAUUUCAUCAUUGCCAUCUUAGGUACCUUGUUUGAGUGGCAAUUUAGAAGUUGAGUACAAUAUGGAACAUGUUGUUAUGGAUAACAACUUCUUUACUUCGUGAGUACGUUUCGAUACAGAUUCUUGUACCGUUGUCAAGCAAG